GUGUUCAAUAAUAUGUGGAGCACAUAAGCUAAAAUUGAAACAAUAUAGAGAAGAUUAGCAUGGCCCCAGUGCAAGGAUGACACAAACAUUUGUGAUUUGGUCGACAUUUCU
ensembl:snRNA Gm23056 U6 spliceosomal RNA